rnacentral:tRNA from 1 species
UUUGAUGUAGCUUAGUGGUACAGUGCAUGCCUGGCAAGUGCAAGGCCCUGAGUUUGAUUCUCAGUACAAAAA